rnacentral:tRNA from 1 species
GCCUUCAUGAUGAAAUGGUAGACAUGAUUGAUUCAAAAUCAAUUGCUAAAUAGCAUGCCAGUUCGAAUCUGGCUGAGGGCA